GCCGGGCAUGGUGGUGGGUGCCUGUAAUCCCAGCUACUCAGGAGGCUGAGGCAGGAGAAUUGCUUGAACCCAGGAGGCAGAGGUUGCAGUGAGCCAAGAUCAUGCCACUGUACCCCAGCCUGGGUAACAGAGUGAGACCCUGUCUCAA
rfam:Gorilla gorilla gorilla genomic chromosome, chr3, whole genome shotgun sequence